AUUGAACGCUGGCGGCAUGCCUUACACAUGCAAGUCGAACGGUAACAGCACUUCGGUGGCUGACGAGUGGCGAACGGGUGAGUAAUACAUCGGAACGUGCCCGAGAGUGGGGAUAACGCAGCGAAAGCUGUGCUAAUACCGCAUACGAUCUACGGAUGAAAGCAGGGGAUUCGCAAGGACCUUGCGCUCAUGGAGCGGCCGAUGGCAGAUUAGGUAGUUGGUGGGAUAAAAGCUUACCAAGCCGACGAUCUGUAGCUGGUCUGAGAGGACGACCAGCCACACUGGGACUGAGACACGGCCCAGACUCCUACGGGAGGCAGCAGUGGGAAUCUUAGACAAUGGGGGCAACCCUGAUCUAGCCAUGCCGCGUGAGUGAUGAAGGCCUUAGGGUUGUAAAGCUCUUUCAGCUGGGAAGAUAAUGACGGUACCAGCAGAAGAAGCCCCGGCUAACUCCGUGCCAGCAGCCG
rnacentral:rRNA from 1 species